rnacentral:lncRNA from 1 species
UUUCUUUUAUAGUUCUUUUAUAGGUAUUAUUUUUGGGCACAACAACUGGCACCGCCUGUGGGAAGACGAAAUCUGAGCUAAACGUUGAUGGAUUUUGUUCUGCUCUGCUAAGGAUUUGAAUUUCAUCCACAACUUUCAAAGAAAAAAGAAAAAAGAAAAAAAGGAAAAAGGAAAAGAAAACUCGGUCAUAUCUCUUUUUCAAAGUCAAACACGCCACAGCCUGUUCUGGCUCAGAUCUCGCCGCCGCCGCUGCCUUCUUUGAAAUCCGACGAGUGACUCAACUCAAAACACCUAUUGAACUGACUCACAAUCGUACGAGGUCAAUUGCAGUGGAAUAAGCUAACCCAAGUCAUCUC